rnacentral:lncRNA from 1 species
CGCUUGUGGGGCCUUGGGGGGCGGCGUCCCACGUGCAGGAGCUGGAAGAACCUGCAACUGGGAUAUACAACUAUGCGCUGGGGGCUUUCAGGAGAAAAAAAAAUGAGGAAGAUUGGUAACAGAUGUUAGCUCAGGGCCAAUCUUCAAAAUAAAUAAACCAAAAAACAAACAGAAUUAAAGGCUACCCGAGUGGAUUUAACAUCCGUGGGAAGGCCAGAAUUUUCUUUAAAAGUGAUCUGCAGCCAAUUAUAACAGCCAUGAACAGGCUCAUCAGGCUUUUGUAUGCAAGCCUGAAGGCUUGGGCAAAGCUAUUGUGAUUUUCAGUGGAGAUUUCCAGUGAAUGUGCUAGCAUCUUUCCAAAAGUUAGUGGUUCAUUUUUCGAAAUCCCUUUCAGGAUGUUCCUGUAGGGCCAGUUUCGUCCAAUGUUGGGCAAGACCUUCACCAACAAGCCUGUGGAUUAGUUGAUAUGAAUCCGAAGACCCUGGCUGGGAAAAAGAAAAUUCCUAGCUAGCCCAAUUCCAAAAGGAACCUUACCAAAGUUUCAGCACACUUCCAAAAGGAAACUAAUCCAGUACUCACCAAGGAGGAAGCCUUGAACUAGAAAGGAC